CACACCAUGGGAUGGAACUGUAUCAUUCUCUUCAUUGUGUCAGUAACUACAGGUGUCCACUCCCAAGUACAGCUACAUCAGUCUGGGCCUGAACUGGGAAAACCCGGGACCUCAGUGAAAUUGUCCUGCAAAGCUUCAGGCUACACCUUCACUAGCUACUAUAUGCACUGGGUGAAGGCAAAGACCUGGACAGGGUCUGGAGUGGAUUGGAGAAAUUAAUCCUAGAAGUGGUGGUACUAACUACAAUGGGAAGUUCCAGGGCAAGGCCAAACUGACUGCAGACAAAUCCUCUAGCAUAGCCUACAUGGAGCUCAACAGCCUGACAUCUGAAGACUCUGCCAUCUAUUACUGUGCAAGACACAGUGCUGUAACCACAUCCUGA